GCGGUGCGCAGUAGCAGAAACGAGGAAGGUGGGGUUAGGCCAGGGCCAGGUAGGGGUUCUUCCUCUUCAGUUUCUGUCGAGCGUGAGGUUGAGUCAUCGGGUUGUUUGAGAUGCUGCUCUAUUCCACUUCCUAGGAACUAUUUACCUUUUAUACUAUCCCUCUAGCUUGAUACUUUAUUCUUUCUUAGAGCAAAGCAGAGAUGUUCUUACCAAGACCAAAGAAAGCGAUAGAGGAGAUUCUCCCUCCACACUCGGCGUCCCGGUUCUGACCCAUUGUUUUGAGGGCAUCCCCAUCAACCCGCCUAUCCUCACGACAGUGGAAGUUGCACUCUAAAGGAUUAACAUUCUUUACCAUACGAUUCAAUGACUAAUUCUUUCCCCCCAGCUUCUGUUACUUGAGCUGGUGCCUCUGAGGGUCGCAUCUCUCAACUGUGCGGCGGUUACCGGAAAGAGGCCUCAUUUUAAGUGAACCAGAAGCCCCUUCCUCAAUUUAACUUUCCUUGACUAGAUCAUAUUAAAGGAAAAGAUCUAA